rnacentral:rRNA from 1 species
UACGUAGGGACCAAGCGUUGUUCGGAUUUACUGGGCGUAAAGGGCGCGUAGGCGGCGUGACAAGUCACUUGUGAAAUCUCUGGGCUUAACCCAGAACGGCCAAGUGAAACUGUUGUGCUAGAGUGCAGAAGGGGCAAUCGGAAUUCUCGGUGUAGCGGUGAAAUGCGUGGAUAUCGAGAGGAACACCAGAGGUGAAGACGGGUUGCUGGGCUGACACUGACGCUGAGGCGCGAAAGCCAGGGGAGCAAACGGG